rnacentral:rRNA from 1 species
CCCUUAGAUGUCCUGGGCUGCACGCGCGCUACACUGAUGUGUCCAGUAAGCACCUAACCUCUUCCGAAAGGAACGGGUAACCUUUGCAAAGCACAUCGUGAUGGGGAUAGAUUAUUGCAAUUAUUAGUCUUGAACGAGGAAUUCCUAGUAAGCACAAGUCAUCAGCUUGUGUUGAUUACGUCCCUGCCCUUUGUACACACCGCCCGUCGCUCCUACCGAUUGAAUGUUCCGGUGAGCUCUUCGGACUGCGCGGUCUGCAGUUUCUGCGUUCCGUGCGGAGAGUUGCGCAAACCCUAACAUUUAGAGGAAGGAGAAGUCGUAACA